rnacentral:rRNA from 1 species
AACGCACCUUGCGCUCCUUGGUAUUCCGAGGAGCAUGCCUGUUUGAGUGUCAUGGAAUCAUCAACUCUCAUGGUCUUUGUUGACUUUUUAGAGAGCUUGGACUUGGAGGAUUUUUGCCGGAUUUAGUCUUUUAAAGUCUGACUCGGCUCCUCUCGAAUGUAUUAGCUUGAACCUAUGCUGUAUCAGCUGUUUGGUGUGAUAAUUGUCUACGCCGCAGUUGUGAAAGCUAUAAGUAUGUAGGGUCAGCUUCGAACCGUCCUGUGAAAGGGACAAUAUCUUUAUUGACCUCUGACCUCAAAUCAGGUAGGAUUACCCGCUGAACUUAA